rnacentral:rRNA from 1 species
UGGGGAAUUUUGGACAAUGGGGGAAACCCUGAUCCAGCCAUCCCGCGUGUGCGAUGAAGGCCUUCGGGUUGUAAAGCACUUUUGGCAGGAAAGAAACGUCAUGGGUUAAUACCCCGUGAAACUGACAGUACCUGCAGAAUAAGCACCGGCUAACUACGUGCCAGCAGCCGCGGUAAUACGUAGGGUGCAAGCGUUAAUCGGAAUUACUGGGCGUAAAGCGUGCGCAGGCGGUUCGGAAAGAAAGAUGUGAAAUCCCAGAGCUCAACUUUGGAACUGCAUUUUUAACUACCGGGCUAGAGUGUGUCAGAGGGAGGUGGAAUUCCGCGUGUAGCAGUGAAAUGCGUAGAUAUGCGGAGGAACACCGAUGGCGAAGGCAGCCUCCUGGGAUAACACUGACGCUCAUGCACGAAAGCGUGGGGAGCAAACAGG